rnacentral:tRNA from 28 species
GGGUUUGCAGCUCGUGGAUCCGAGCCCAUGGUUCUGAACCAUGAAGUCAAGGGUUCAAACCCCUUCUAGCCCA